UACAGAGGGUGCAAGCAUUAAUCGGAUUUAUUGGGCGUAAAGAGCGCGCAGGCGGGGUUUUAAGUCAGAUGUGAAAUCCCGGGGCUCAACCCCGGAACAGCAUUUGAAACUGAGAAUCUUGAGGGUAGUCGGAGAAAAUGGAAUUCCACGUGUAGCGGUGAAAUGCGUAGAUAUGUGGAAGAACACCGGUGGCGAAGGCGAUUUUCUAGAUUAUUCCUGACGCUGAGGCGCGAAAGCAAGGGGAUCAAACAGG
rnacentral:rRNA from 1 species